GAUGAACGCUGGCGGCGUGCCUAAUACAUGCAAGUCGAGCGAACAGACGAGGAGCUUGCUCCUUUGACGUUAGCGGCGGACGGGUGAGUAACACGUAGGUAACCUACCUAUAAGACUGGGAUAACUUCGGGAAACCGGAGCUAAUACCGGAUAAUAUUUCGAACCGCAUGGUUCGAUAGUGAAAGAUGGCUUUGCUAUCACUUAUAGAUGGACCUGCGCCGUAUUAGCUAGUUGGUAAGGUAACGGCUUACCAAGGCAACGAUACGUAGCUGACCUGAGAGGAUGAUCAGCAACACUGGAAGUGAGAGACGGUCCAGACUACUACGGGAGGCAGCAGUGGGGAAUAUUGGACAAUGGGCGCAAGCCUGAUCCAGCCAUACCGCGUGGAUGAAGAAGGCCUUCGGAUUGUAAAGCCCUUUUGUUGGGAAAGAAAAGCAGCAGGUUAAUAACCCGCUGUUCUGACGGUACCCAAAGAAUAAGCACCGGCUAACUUCGUG
rnacentral:rRNA from 1 species